GCCCUCGUAGCUCAGUGGAUAGAGCACAGGUUUCCUAAACCUGGUGUCGGAGGUCCGAUUCCCCCCGAGGGCACCA
rnacentral:tRNA from 1 species